ensembl:lncRNA
AACCUCUGUGUGUCCAAAGACUUUAACUUGCAGCUUGCAAAGUGGUUGUGGGUUUCCUGUCGGCUUGUCAGCAAACUGCUUCCUUAUUUCAUUAGUAUUUAAUGCAACACUUGUUGCUUGUUCUCAGUGACAUGUGAAAGGGUAAAAUGGCAUCUUUCACAGUAUGUCUGCCAUCCUUUUACUUGUUUUGGGUCAUCACUCCUUACUUCCUGUUUGCAUUCACUCAUGUCCAUGAAUUUCCAAAACCACAGCUGUUGGUAUCCCCUUCAGUAAUUUGGCCGACAACCACAGUCCAUCUGAGUUGUGUAGUCCCCAAGGGACCAGUGUAUCCGUGUAUUUUCAUGGUGGGAGAGAACUACACCAUCCCUACAUCAUCAUGCCAGCUGACCCUCACAGGAGAACAAAUUAAAGCCUGGGGACGGGUAAACCCACCUUCGGAGCUUCCAGUGAAAUGUUUCUACACUGUAAAAGAGUCUGGUGUUAAACAUCCCUCUGAUUUCUCUUCUCC